CAGACUUGGGCAGGGUGAACUAUGGUUUCUUCUAGAGGAUUUGGCUCCAUCAAGUUGAGAGGAACAAGAGAGACCUGGGACCAGAGGAUGACUGAUCAUUUCAGCAAUGUUAUGAUCAGAAAUCACUUGCCAAGCAAAGCCCUCCAGUCCCAGAUGCUGCUGCUUCCAUCAGCUGCCUACAGAAGGAUUGACUUAGG